GAUGAAGAACGUAGCGAAAUGCGAUAAGUAAUGUGAAUUGCAGAAUUCAGUGAAUCAUCGAGUCUUUGAACGCACAUUGCGCCCCCUGGUAUUCCGGGGGGCAUGCCUGUCCGAGCGUCAUUGCUGCCCUCAAGCACGGCUUGUGUGUUGGGCCUCCGUCCUCCUUCCGGGGGACGGGCCCGAAAGGCAGCGGCGGCACCGCGUCCGGUCCUCGAGCGUAUGGGGCUUCGUCACCCGCUCUUGUAGGCCCGGCCGGCGCUUGCCGACACAUCAAUCUUUUUUCCAGGUUGACCUCGGAUCAGGUAGGGAUACCCGCUGAACUUAAGCAUAUCAAUAAGCGGAGGA
rnacentral:misc_RNA from 1 species